CAGUAAUCAUAAGAGAGAGCGGUCCGGACUGGUGGAGUCCCUGGUGGUGCCUAGUGACAGGCAGUAGCCACGCGCAGUUUUCCAGUAUAUGACAACAGCACUGCCCCCCAACAUUCUCCAGCUAGCAGCUCUGGAACCAUCAGGCAGGAGGAUCUGAUCCACAUAAUAGUAGAGCUGAAAGGGGCCUAUGCAUGAUGCUGCUCUUGGUGCCAAAAUCAGAGUCUUGGGUUACCUGAGCCAAUUCCCACCUCUUCAGUGGAGCCAAGAUAGCAGUGAUCAAGAAAAUCGUAUGCAAUGCCACUUAUGAAAUUUUUGAUGCAAGAACCAAACUGACAAAGAUGUUUUUGGGAUCAUGAUCAGUAAACAAAACCAGAACUAACUCAAGCCUUAAGCAGAUUUUUUAUCACCAAUAUAUGUUACAAUGAAAAAAUUGAUGCAAAGAGUUUUAAAAAAAAUGUUAUUUUGUUUUCCUCCAAAAAUGGAUGGAAUUCCAAAAGUACAAUGUAACAAUACAAAGAUCCAAGAUUACAAUUCAACUUCUUAAAUGAUAAAUUGGACUUCCAAAGGCCCUGCUCUCAUGACUACAAACUAUGGGUUAGUAUAGUAUUGGGAAAAAUCCUAAAAAAACCCAUAAAAACAAAACUACUGUCUGAAUAUUAGCUGCUGGCAUCUAGGAAUGUCUGAAAUGUUUGAAAUUUUCUGUUCAGCUCUACACAGAACUGUUGAUCCCAAAUGUGGUGCUUGCUCCUCUAAAACUAAAAUAUUUUUGUAGCCCUGCCUAUAUCUUACAUUUGUUUUUAAACUUUUCCCAUUAAUGAACACAAUGAACUUGUUCUUCUAAGACCAACUCUAGGUCUUUCAGAAAGAGACAUGAAGAAUCAGAA